rnacentral:rRNA from 1 species
UACGGAGGAUCCAAGCGUUAUCCGGAUUUAUUGGGUUUAAAGGGUGCGUAGGCGGAUAAAUAAGUCAGUGGUGAAAGCCUGCAGCUUAACUGCAGAACUGCCAUUGAUACUGUUUAUCUUGAAUAUAGUUGAGGUGGGCGGAAUAUGACAUGUAGUGGUGAAAUACUUAGAUAUGUCAUAGAACACCGAUUGCGAAGGCAGCUCACUAAGCUAUGAUUGACGCUGAGGCACGAAAGCGUGGGUAGCAAAC